AUGAAGCAUGUGGCCGUAAGUGUGCAAUCAGGUAGUAAACUUGUGGGCAGGAGAAAACACUGCGGGCAGGUACAAAGAAAAACGUAAUUUUUUAACUGCAUGAGCGGAGUUAAAAUCACACACACACACACACACACACAUCUGUAGCUGAGACCAAUUUUUCAGUGAAAUGGUUCAUAAUUCUUUUUUUCUUUCUUUCUUUCUUUCUUUCUUUCUUUCUUUCUUUCUUUCUUUCUUUCUUUCUUUCUUUAAAAAAAAAAAACCCAAACCCUUACGGUUAAGGCCGUGCCCACUUCUGGUUUAACUCUCAACACAGACACACAUACAAAUAUUUGGAGCCCCUAACAGAUACAUCUUGCAUUACCUCCGUAAUCUAGAUGAAGUCAAGACCACAGAUUUAGCAUGAACAGAACCAGUGAUGAAAGAUCUUUGCCGUUUGUUUACAAAUACUAAUAAGUUUCCUUCUUCAGCUUCAUCAUAAAAAGGACCCAGAGAGGGCUCUCAUCCAGAGAGUCUAAAAACAGCCACAGGGCACUCCAGCAGCGGGAGGAUGUGCAGCCAUGACAACCCGAGUGUGUUGCACACAAACAUCUCAUGCCGAACACCAGCCAUGUCUAUUAUCACCGUGAUGUCAGGGCUAGAGCCAUCUUCCUCCUGCUCCUGAUAAGAGCUGCCACACGGUCCAAAUGUGCCAGAAGUCCUGCUGCCUUCAAACAACCUAAUCUUAUCUCAGCCUUACUGCAGUGCUGGUUACUGGGUGAAACAACUCAGCAGAAACCUCAUCUUGGCUUCCUGUUGGACAAAGUACACAACAAGGGGUGUAGAAGGGAUUAUUAUAUAGAGACUAGGGAACUAUUUAGGAUUUAACAUUCGACCGUUGCUCCAACUGCCAGCUAACAAACUGCCAUGAGUCAUAAAUCACACUAUUCUCUUUAUAUUUUUUUGUCGGCAGGAAAUGCAGCUGCUUUAUGGUUGUGUAGAUGUAGCCAGUCUUACAUCAGCGUGAAGAGACUGAAAACCCACUCAGAUAUGGAUGAGAGCAGCAGAGGGGAAAAUAAAAUGUGGACAGCAAGAUGAUUAAUAUGCGUCCGCACAGGUUUUAUGAAGCCGAGGCAGCCGAGGCGUGUGUCUGAAAUAGAGCUGGAAACUGGAGCAGGCCUGACCUGCGAGGAACGAAAAAGAAACUCUGGCAACCCUAUCCUCCACAUGUGGCUUUAAAAAGCUUGAACAGCGCUGCCCAGGAGGACCACAGAGCCCCACCGCUGCCAGUCGAGAUGAUAGGGUAACCCAAAGCUCUCUGGAGAGGCUCCAUUUCACCCACAUAGCGCAAUCUCUUCUCUUCUCACCAUCCCUCGCUGCAGUCACCGUGGCACAGCUGUAGAAGAUGCGUGAUCAGGAAAGGGCUGACUGAGUGUUAUUGGAAGAGGCCAAAGGCCCAGGGGAUAGAAUUAAAGCAAGUUCUGUGACGUUUUGGCAACCCUACUCUUAGUGACAGGUACAGUUCAGGGACAUGUUUUUUUGGAAACACAAGUAGGGCACUGUUGAAUCAUAAUGAUCAGCCGUGUCUGAAUAUCUUAUGUCCCAUGAGAGGGCUCAUUAUAAGAACCCCAGAAGGUGUGAAAAGAGGGCUUAGUCUGUAUUUGGCAACAACAUAUCAGCGAGAAAGAGGGAUUCCACUGUGGCUAAACUGUUUCCCUGGUUACAAGGGCUAAACCAGGCCUACAUCCUGUCUCAAGCUAAACAUGGCGUUUCAGUAAGAAUGGACAGAUAUAGCGGGAGAAGUGUGUUUGAUGAUGGGUGACAAUUUAAAGCAAAAAGCAACAGUGUUUAAUUGGGCCACCAUGAGCUGUCCAGAGAGCUUCACUGGCACAGAUUCUAGAGGUUUCUAGAAGUAGGAGGGGUGGAAACUGUCCUUCCCUAGCAUAUUCCCUCAGUUGGUGAUGGUAGGUGGUGGUGAAUAUCUCAAUCUCAUCUCUCAUAGGUGUUCAUUAGGUUUUAGGCUAAAGUGUGAAGGCUAAAGGAUAACAUCAUUAGACCAUUCAGUGAGCCCUGGUGUCCUGUGGACGGAGGUGGGAUCAAAUUCUAAACUAAUGCUCUCCUUACCCAGUCACCCAGUCUUGGUAGAUGUCCUCUUGUAGACAGAGCAGUCAUGGUUUUGCCAUAUUUUUCAUAUCUGUAACUCACCGGUAUACAGAUGUUGGAUGACCUUGAGCAAGGCCCUUAACCCUGAACUGCUCAGCUGUAUAACUGAGAUAAAUGUAAAUGUAAGUAAGUAAAUGUAAAUGUAAAUAUUGUUGUAGUAAUGGAUUUAAUGCAGCUCUAUUCAAUCCCUGAUCAAUAUUUUUUCCAAAGAUUGUUCUGGCAAAACUUGUGUUAUUGCAUGCAGGUUAAGUCUGUUCAACUAAUUGUGUUUUAUGGUGGUGACUGGUUUCACCAGAACUAAUUUAGGUGAAUACAUUCAAAAAUUGUAUGAUGAUGAUGAUGAUGAUGAUGAUUAUAUUAUUAUUAUUAUUAUUAUUAUUAUUAUUAUUAUUAUUAUUAUUAUUAUUUCCUCUACACUUCAGUGUUAUGGAUUAUGGAGCAUGUUGCUAUGUAACGUAUAUUUGUAUACAGUCUUCUACAAUCACCACUUAUUCCACAAUUCCACUUAUUAUCAUAUGCCACAGUCAUAAUGAUGUGCUUGAAUGGAGGAGUCUGUUGCAAGAUCAACAGACCUAUUCAGACUGAGCCUCCAGCUGCACUGCCACUUAUCAUAUCUGUAUAUGGAUGAUGGCACUACAUAUAGCACCCUGUUAAGCAUGUAGCAGGUUACAGGUCUGCGUAGACAAACAAUAAUAGUACCUUCAACUACA